rnacentral:rRNA from 1 species
UACGGAGGGAGCUAGCGUUGUUCGGAAUUACUGGGCGUAAAGCGCGCGUAGGCGGCUUUGUAAGUUAGAGGUGAAAGCCCGGAGCUCAACUCCGGAACUGCCUUUAAAACUGCAUCGCUUGAAUCCAGGAGAGGUGAGUGGAAUUCCGAGUGUAGAGGUGAAAUUCGUAGAUAUUCGGAAGAAACACCAGUGGCGGAAGGCGGCUCACUGGACUGGUAUUGACGCUGAGGUGGCGAAAGCGUGGGGAGCAACAGG